GGAAUCUCUGUGUUUAACAGGCUCCACAGGGGAUUUUGUUGAGGGUAUAGGGAGAAAUCUGCUGCAUUUCUAAAGUUCUCUGAAAACAAGUCGCAUUUCAGAACCAAAAUCAGCAUUUGAUUUUCUUCACUUUGGGGGUGUAUUCAGGAGGCCAUUGGAUACAACAAGGAAUGCUUAAGGAUAGAAAGUAACAGAGCCAGGAGAAACUUCCUGGAUUCUCAGGAUGUCCUGGGAUUUUCUGUACAUUCUGGCCUACAAGACAUCUGUGAACUGGAGAGCCCUCAUAUCAUCUCAUAGCUUCAAAACAGAGGAGGAACAGUGAAUGGCUUCCUACUCCCUGAAGGCAGGCAGGGGUUGUGUCUCUCCUGUGUGACUUCCUUUAUCCAAAUAGCCCAAAUCCCAAAAUAGAGGUAUAAUAGGGGCUCAGCAGGAUGACAUCCAUAAUUCAAGGCCUGACUAUUGCUGACUGCACAGAAAGUUAGAAGGAAACUGGCCUCUUGCUGGACCUUACUCAGUCCUGAAGCCUGUGGGAGUAAGGAGUAAGGAGUAAGAGUGCUUGUGAUAUCAGGGGAAGAGAUGUAAUUCCCAAACCUACCUGGUAUCUGAAACACGAGUUCGUGUUCUCUAAAAUCGAAGAAUGAAUUCUAGGAACAAUGGGGGUUAAGAGUAGGAAAAAUUUAUUGGGAGAAAGAAAGCUUCUGCCUAAGAGAGACAGAAGAGGGACCAGAAAGUGAGUUGCCUGCCCACCCCACUUUUCAAAGAUGUUUUAUACAGCAAAGCCAUGUGGACAGGCGGGUACAAAGUGGCACAAAACUAUAAGACCCAAUGGAAAUUUACAAGGUGGGCAUGAGGUGGGACAAACCCAUGACCAACCAAUAAGAUUACAAGUACAGUCACCCAGGUAAUAUUGAAUAAAUGGGGAUCAAAUGAAAAGACAAGUCACAUGCAAGGAAUUUCCCAUUUAGAAUAUCAAUCACUGCUUUCUAUCUCUAGGGGAAGUAGUGCUUCUUUUCCUUUUUAUAAUGCUAACCAGUGAAUGUGGCUCAAUUGUUCUCCAUGUUGGUUCCUUGCUAUAUUGUCUCCUGGAGGGCUGGUGCCUUAAGGGAGGCCUUGUCUACCUGCCAAGGAGAUAUCUAAUUAACUUACCUAUCUGCAAUACUUAAGAGCCUCAGCUGCAGAGCAGGUGUCACAAUCCUCCCUUCAUUGGGAAUCCAGAGGUGUCUGGCAAGUCUCUUGGCCACAGGCCUCCCUGGAGCCCAGAGCUCUUUGAAGAAAAGAUUCUGGGAACAAGUGUAAGACCCAGGUGAGACUUAGCACAAGUAACACCAUCUUGUUACAGGCCCUCCAUCUUGUCCCUGUGGGUUUCGGGUUCACUAAAGGACACAGAGUUCCUGGAAUGUACUUGUUUAUCUGUUAAGACACCCUGGAAUGUACCAUUGUUUCUGUGUAAAGAACAUCCUGUUAGAUAAGUAAAGAACAUCUACAAACUCCCCUAACCGUCCCCUAACUGCAAAAAUUCCGCUUCUGUAGUUCUGCUUGCUAAGCACCCCUGCAGCCCCUAUAAAACCUUCCAACCUCCUGAG
ensembl:lncRNA